rnacentral:SRP_RNA from 1 species
GCUGGGCGUGGUGGCUCCCGCCUGUAAUCCCAGCACUUUGGGAGGCUGAGGCGGGUGGAUCACCUGAGGUCAGGAGUUCGAGACCAGCCUGGCCAACAUGGUGAAACCCUGUCUCUA